rnacentral:rRNA from 1 species
GAUCCAGACUCCUACGGGAGGCAGCAGUGAGGAAUAUUGGUCAAUGGGCGAGAGCCUGAACCAGCCAAGUCGCGUGAGGGAAGACGGUCCUAUGGAUUGUAAACCUCUUUUGCCGGGGAGCAAAAAGCGGUACGUGUACCGCAUCGAGAGUACCCGGAGAAAAAGCAUCGGCUAACUCCGUGCCAGCAGCCGCGGUAAUACGGAGGAUGCGAGCGUUAUCCGGAUUUAUUGGGUUUAAAGGGUGCGCAGGCGGAGGUGCAAGUCAGCGGUCAAAUUGCGGGGCUCAACCCCGUACUGCCGUUGAAACUGCAUCCCUUGAGUGCGCGAGAAGUAUGCGGAAUGCGUGGUGUAGCGGUGAAAUGCAUAGAUAUCGCGCAGAACUCCGAUUGCGAAGG